GGAAGUGGUGGUAGGCUCGGGCGGAAGCAGGAAGCGGCGGAGCAGGACGACGCCAGUGGUGGUGCAGCCGACUGUGGGGCCAUGGCCGAGAAGUUCGACCACCUGGAGGAGCAUCUGGAGAAGUUCGUGGAGAACAUCCGGCAGCUCGGUAUCAUCGUCAGCGACUUCCAGCCCAGCAGCCAGGCCGGGCUCAACCAAAAACUGAAUUUUAUCGUGACUGGCUUACAGGAUAUUGAUAAGUGCAGACAGCAACUUCAUGAUAUUACUGUACCUUUAGAAGUUUUUGAAUAUAUAGAUCAAGGUCGAAACCCACAACUCUACACCAAAGAGUGCCUGGAAAGAGCUCUGGCGAAAAAUGAACAAGUUAAAGGGAAGAUUGAUACGAUGAAGGAAGAAAUGGAAUUAUACAAAAAGAAGAAAAAGACACAGGCCUUCUGGCUCGGUGAUAAGGAAGAAAUGUGGGUGACAGUGAAAGUUAUAAAGCUGAGAAAGCAGGAAUCUUUGCGGACGGCCUUGACACGCACACACUUCAGUAAAUCCUCAUUAUUGCAAAUGUGCUGAUGGUGGGACUGGCUUUCAUGCAGCAGGAAGACCCAGCAGUGCGGGAAAGGUGUGUGCUGCCCAGGCAGCUCUGACACAGACCACUGGAUUUCCUACCUGAGGACCACAAGAGACCUCACUUCAGCAGAGAUGAGGGGUGCUGUCUUUUCUCCACCUGGAACAUGCUGUGAAGGACACUAAGGUCACUUGUGUGCCUUGCCUCAACACACUUUGGUAGCAACAUCAACCAGGGCAUCCUGUUCCUUCAUUCCCAUGUCCUUUUUAUUUGUGACUUAGUGAUGUUUCCAGUGCCAGGUCAGGGCUCCAUGGUUCUCUCCUGGCACAGUGUGGCUGCUCAUCUACCCAUUCUGCAAAGGGGAGAGAUGGAACUGUCAUACUGCAUCCCUGCUCAGAGCCUAGAAUGACA